rnacentral:rRNA from 1 species
UAGGGAAUCUUCGGCAAUGGACGAAAGUCUGACCGAGCAACGCCUCGUGAGUGAAGAAGUUUUUCGGAUCGUAAAACUCUGUUGUUAGAGAAGAACAAGGACGUUAGUAACUGAACGUCCCCUGACGGUAUCUAACCAGAAAGCCACGGCUAACUACGUGCCAGCAGCCGCGGUAAUACGUAGGUGGCAAGCGUUGUCCGGAUUUAUUGGGCGUAAAGCGAGCGCAGGCGGUUGCUUAAGUCUGAGGUGAAAGCCCCCGGCUCAACCGUGGAGUGUCAUUGGAAACUGGGAGACUUGAGUGCAGAAGAGGAGAGUGGAAGUCCAUGUGUAGCGGUGAAAUGCGUAGAUAUAUGGAGGAAAACCAGUGGCGAAAGCGGCUCUCUGGUCUGUAACAGACGCUGAGGCUCGAAAGCGUGGGGAGCGAACAGG